UACGUAGGGGGCAAGCGUUGUCCGGAUUUAUUGGGCGUAAAGGGUGCGUAGGCGGCGCGGUAAGUCGGGUGUGAAAUCUUGGAGCUUAACUCCGAAACUGCAUUCGAUACUGCCGUGCUUGAGGACUGGAGAGGAGACUGGAAUUUACGGUGUAGCGGUGAAAUGCGUAGAUAUCGUAAGGAAGACCAGUGGCGAAGGCGGGUCUCUGGACAGUUCCUGACGCUGAAGCACGAAGGCCAGGGGAGCAAACCGG
rnacentral:rRNA from 1 species